rnacentral:tRNA from 1 species
GGAGGCGUCGCAUAGUGGUCUAGUGCGCUUGCUUGGAAAGCAAGUAUACUCGCAAGGGUAUCAAGAGUUCGAAUCUCUUCGCCUCCGCCA